rnacentral:rRNA from 1 species
GGGAAUCUAAACCCUUCCCAGAGUAUCAAUUGGAGGGCAAGUCUGGUGCCAGCAGCCGCGGUAAUUCCAGCUCCAAUAGCGUAUAUUAAAGUUGUUGCAGUUAAGAAGCUCGUAGUUGAAUUUCUGCCUUAUCAUUAAUUUCGCUUCCGAACGUAAUUUUAUUGAUUUGGCAUCUUCUGGAUUAUAUAUUAUUUUUAAUAUAUUUUUCCAGUAUUUUACUUUGAGAAAACUAGAGUGUUUCAAACAGGCUUUUGCCUUGAAUACUACAGCAUGGAAUAAUGAAGUAGGACUAUUGGUUCUAUUUUGUUGGUUAUCGAACCAUAGUAAUGGUUAAUAGGAGCAGUUGGGGGCAUUCGUAUUUAACUGUCAGAGGUGAAAUUCUUAGAUUUGUUAAAGACGAACUACUGCGAAAGCAUUUGCCAAGGAUGUUUUCAUUAAUCA